rnacentral:rRNA from 1 species
AGAGUUUGAUCCUGGCUCAGGAUGAACGCUAGCGGCAGGCUUAACACAUGCAAGUCGAGGGGCAGCACAGGUAGCAAUACUUGGUGGCGACCGGCGCAAGGGUGCGUAACGCGUGAGCAACAUGCCCGUAUCAGGGGGAUAAUCCAUGGAAACGUGGUCUAAUACCCCAUAGUAAAUUUUUGGGGCAUCUCAAAGAUUUUAAAGCUUUGGUGGAUACGGAUUGGCUCGCGUGACAUUAGCUAGAUGGUAAGGUAACGGCUUACCAUGGCUACGAUGUCUAGGGGUUCUGAGAGGAAGGUCCCCCACACUGGAACUGAGACACGGUCCAGACUCCUACGGGAGGCAGCAGUGAGGAAUAUUGGACAAUGGAUGGAAAUCUGAUCCAGCCAUGCCGCGUGCAGGAAGACGGCCCUAUGGGUUGUAAACUGCUUUUGUAUGGGAGCAAUAAGGGCUACGUGUAGUCCGAUGAGAGUACCAUACGAAUAAGCACCGGCUAACUCCGUGCCAGCAGCCGCGGUAAUACGGAGGGUGCAAGCGUUAUCCGGAUUUAUUGGGUUUAAAGGGUGCGUAGGCGGUUUGAUAAGUCAGCGGUGAAAUAUUUCAGCUUAACUGGAAGGGUGCCGUUGAUACUGUCGAGCUUGAAUUUAGUUGCUGUGGGUGGAAUGUGUGGUGUAGCGGUGAAAUGCAUAGAUAUCACACAGAAUAUCGAUUGCGAAGGCAGCUCACAAAGCUAAUAUUGACGCUGAUGCACGAAAGUGUGGGGGAUCAAACAGGAUUA